rnacentral:lncRNA from 1 species
CCUUUGGCCGCGAACUGUGCGCAUUGUCUCCGUAGGUAUCCACUUAAUAAAAUAGGUACGGCACACGAUGGAUAAGUACGAGUGAAAAUAUAUUUUUAUACAAGAACAUUUUUCGGCGUAUGGUAAGUAUAAGUGAUACUAAAAUGUGGUAGACGAUUUGACAUUUAUAUAAUAAUUACAACUCUUAUAAUUUCCAAAUAAAAUUCGGAAACAUACAUAUCUAGAUAAUCAUGAUCAGGGAACAAACGAUUAACGAAGAUUUGAGGAAAGAACGGACCAUGUGUACGUUCGAUAUCGAAGAGCUAACGAAUUGGUUGGAUGAUGGCCGGGAAAAUACCGAACAAAGACGAAAACUCGGUAGGUAGCUCAAAGAUAAACCAAAGGAAACUGUUGGUACUUAUUGAACGUCAGAAGACUCACUACAAAAAUGUGAAUUUCAGAACAAUUUUUCCUCAACGAUUCAAGGUUAAAAGACGACGUGCCCGUCGAAUACCUAAGUCACAAAGAACACUACGAGCAUGCAGUCCGAAAAUCUUGUAUUUUGAUCCAGAAAAUUAUCGAAUGGCAGGAACUGACGAACAGUACUAUAACAGACAUUUCCAAGUACCUUUAUUCAAAGUUUAUCGACUAUAUUCAUUUACAAAAUCCUAUCGAAUUAAUUAUGAUUUUUUUUUUUAAAUACUUGGCCACUUGAGUAUCUAUGGCAUGCAGAAUUAAAAUCAUGUAAAGAAACCUAUAUAGCUAGGUAUAUUAUAAGUAUAGCUAUAAUAUAUUUUUGGAAGAGAUACUAGACACUAGGUACCUGUUGAAAUUGUCAAAUGGAUCGGACGGAUUUAUAUUUCAGUGGUGUACCUAUCAUAUUGCCAAUUAUUUAUCUUACCUCUUAUACCUCUUUAUUUUGUGUCUUAUAGAUGCUUUGUGAGAAGGGCUUAAGGAGUUGUGAGCAACAUUAAUGGUAUUUCUUGAGAUAGGAAGAUUAAUGAGAUCAUGCCAAUAAAUUUGCAUUUGAUUUUCAUAUAAAAUUUAAUUUACUUACCUAGAUAAUUUAUGCGUAGGUACGAAUGUACGAUUAACUAUAUGGAUUCCUCGAUCAUAAAAAAAAAUACUAAGUUGGUACUUAAUAAUUAUACAUUUGAUACUAUCACAGUCAAUACACAAAAUAUCAUUAAUAUAUUAUAGGUAGCUUGGUGUAUAAUUUUACAAAUAGGUAAAUCUAUACAAUUUUUUUUUCUAAUUUUAGUCAGAUUUGGGAAUAUGGAAUAAAUACGGCGAUUGUCAAACAGCUUUGUCCUUUUUCCGUACAUUCCGUAAUGUUUUUGCCGGCCAUACUGAGUCAGGGUACUCUGGAACAACAAAAAAAAUGGGCAACACUUGGCCAAAGCUAUAGAAUCAUCGGUACAUACGCUCAGGUAAUAUUAUUAAAAAAUCGUAGCAGAUAAUCGAGUGUGUACUUACCUACCUAUUUACUCUAAUGACGAGGGCAAAAAUGUGUUUAUAUAAUUUCAAUUAUUCGUAUGAUUCGCAUGGAUCAAUGAUACUGUUAAUAUAAAUUCAUGUGAAUUCGAACCAAUACCUAUGCAUUAAUUGCAAUUAGUGAUUAUAAUUAUUUUUACUGCAGGAUUAAAACGGUCUAAACCAGUGGUUCCCAAACUUUAUUUUUUCCACCGUAUGACAUUCUUAAUAGUUACGAGUCAUGAUACACUUUUGAAACGUGUCUACUUAGCUGAUAUUUUUAGCCAUUUAAAUAAUCUUAAUUCAAGAAUGUAAAGUGAAGAUGAAACCAUAUUAAAAUCAAGUGAUAAACUAAAUGGUUUUUUACGAAAUAUUAAUCUUUGGAUAUCACACAUAGAAACAAAACAACUUUAAAUGUUUCCAUUAACAGCGCUUGCUGAUCAAGAUGGAGAAGUAACUUAUGAUUUGAUUAUUAACCAUCUCGUAGUUUUAAAAGAAAAAAAAAGAAGAAAUAUUUUUCAUCUUUGCUUGUUGACAAAUAUGAUUGUAUACGUAGUAACAUCAGAUGCUAUGUCUGAUAUUCUCAUCUAGAAUUAGUUGAUUAAGUUCAACUUAUAGGAAUUCAAUCUGAUCUGAUUGAAAUUAAAAUAUAGUGAACUUAUAGAGCUAGUACUACACUCGUCCAUUUCUUGGAAUUUAAUUAAUACCGAGUAACAGAAAAUUACAGAAAAAGUAAGAAAUAUGCCAUUACGUCAUUUUCCACUAGGUACAUAUUUCUGUGAAUUAGGUUUUUCCGCACUACUAAUAUUCAAAAUACUAAAUGUGAACAAUUUUUAUCGGUUAAACAAGAAAUGCGAGUACCUAUGUUUACCAAUCGAUCCUUUCGCGAAUUGAACAAAAAAACAUCAAACAUACUAAAAUUAAUACAAACACAUAAUUUUAUUUCUUUUUCAAAGUUUUUUGUGAAUUGAUUUGUGCAUAUUGGAUGUUAAAUAAACUAGGAGUUUUACCUAGGAAGGUAAUAGAGGGGAAAGGCAAACGAAAAUAUUAUUAACACUCGUUUAAUACAAAAAUUCAAAAUUAUUUACAUUGUACCUAAAAAAAACGUCCUAGGAUAAUGGAGAUGGGUGCAGCCACUGUUACAGAUAAUUUAAUGGUAAGCAACAAUAAACCAUUGCUUACGAAAAAAACGAUUCUGAGCAGAGUUUAGUUGAUAGUGUUGCUCUGUCAACAAUAUAUAUAUCAUAUUAUGGUAAAAUAAUUACUCAGCCAUUAUAUAUUUUUUUUAAUAAUAUUUAUUUAAUAUUGCACCUAUUUUCCCGUUUUCCUACGAUUUUCCUGGUUUUCCCGUGGUUUUUCCCAUUUAUUGGGAAAACUCCCGGGGAAAUUGAAAUUUAACUCCCUAAAGUACCUCCCGUGUCUAAUUUCCUUUCAAAAAAGGCGCUACACUAAAAAUCGAAGCAAGAUUUAAGGUAGAAAAGUUGUCCGCAAAAAAAAAAAAUAAACAUCUUUGUAAAACCAUACGCUUUUUCGCUUCACUCAUAAUCUAAAAAGUUAUUAAAAAAGAUCUAUAGGCAUUAUUGAGUUUAUGAUAAAACCAUUGAAAAACGUAGUUUAAUCAAUAUACGUACUGUAGGAACUCUUCAUCUUUCCAACAAAAAAUAGUUGUUGAAAUUGGACCGUUCUACGAGGCAUGAGAGUUUUUCACGUAAAACACGUUUUUUAGUCAAAUAAAACACGUCAGACAUACUCCCUAAUGUACGAUUAAAUUUUAAACAUAUUUUUGGAAUAGUCAAAUUGUUGAGGUUAUUGAGGAAAUUGAUUUUUUGAUAUCGAAUUUAGUGAGUCCAAUAUAAAUACAAAUGUAAUGUGGUUAUUUCACGUUAUUUAAAAAAAUAUAAUAUUUUAAUUUAGAGGUCUUAAAAAUUUAAAAUCAACUUCCUAAAAAAUCUGAUUUUAACUUAUUUUUGGUCUUAUAUUUCAUGUUCCUAUUUUCAAAAAGUCUUUGUUCUUGUUUUAUUUACAAUGAUGUCGCAGGUUAACGAUCUAAAAAGCUCCUGUUGGAUCUUAUUUUCCGAGUUUCGUGAUCAGUAAAGUUCAUAUCUUCAACUAAGCUAUUUAUUGGGGGCUUCUGAACAAGGAUAUUAUCAGAUCUUUAGUGCAGUAAGUUCCAAUUGCCUUCUGCAUUCCCAUGCUAUUCACCAGGUGUGUUGGUUCGUCCGCCUUAAGAGGUAGUUUCCCACCUCCAGAACAAGAGAUUUCCGUCUUCUACCCAUUAAUUCGCUCCCGGAGGUCGUUGGCCUUAGUAGAGGUUGUUCCUUUAACCAGGGGUUGAUUGGUGAUACUUGAGUUGCCUUUUGCGACAAGUGGAAUUACCCGUGACUCUAUUCUAAUUUGAGUACCACACAUAUAAAAGUAAUAUUAGGUGGAAGUAUACAUUUAUUGUUAUUGUAUGAAAAAAAUUAAACCAUUUUAUAACUAGAAAAAAAAAACAAUUCUUUGUUUAACUAAUAACUUUUUCGUUAUAUUCAAAAUCUAAAAUAGAUAAUUUUUUAGUAUAUAAUGAGAGACUUGACUUCAUAUUUUUCUAUAAAUGCUAAACUCUUAUCAUAUAAUAACUUUAUAAAUUCGUCAAAAGCAAUUCCAAUUAUUAAACCUUCUGUUGAAAAUUACAUUUUUUUUAAUCUUCUUAAAGGCUGAUCAGCCUACUAUUAUUUUUAGGUAAAGUAUUAGAAAAGCUAAUAUUUAAAAAACUAUUACUUUACACUUUCUCAUCGCGUUUAGUGUAAUACACCAGGUAUUGGUAUAGGUUAGUUGAUGCAAUCUCGUUUUCUCCGGGAAAAAAAAAUAUUAAUGCACUUAUGCUUUCCGAAACAUUAUUCAGGUGUUUGACAAAGUCUGAUAUGAAGAAUUACUCCUUAAAUUAAAAAAUUGAAUUUUCAAAUUCGAAAUAACAUUAUUAAGUACACAUUUAUUUUUAUCAAUUGUAUAAAUAAGUCUUAGAUAGUUAGAUAAUUAUAUUUUGUACAUUUUUGAAAAAAAUAAAAUGUAACAAGAAAACCUUUUACUGCAUGCUCAUUUUCAAUGAGAAGCUGUAAGAAAUGUUAAGGGGGUUCGAGAAGAUAUUUUCGGGGGGGGGGGGCUGUAAUCCCUAAGCUCCCUGCAUCCAACACCUAUGAACAAACGUUGAACAGUAAAAAGUUUCAUAUUUUAUUGACGAGAAAAAUAUUUUACAUAUUUUAUAGACCGAACUCGGCCAUGGCACUUAUAUCAAAGGUUUAGAGACUACGUGCACAUAUGAUUCAUCAACAGAAGAGUUUAUUUUAAACAGUCCGACGUUAACUUCGUACAAAUGGUGGCCCGGCGGAUGUAUGUUUUAUAUAUAACGAAUGUCAAAACAAUUUAUCAACAUUCAACGCUGGAUAAAAUUAUAAUUUCAGUGGGCCAUAGUUGUAAUUACGCUAUUGUUGUCGCUCAACUCUACACACAAGGGAUACAUCGCGGAUUGCAUCUGUUCAUUGUGCAGAUAAGAGAUUCGGAAACGUGGAUGCCUAUGCCAGGUGCAUGUUAUUUUUUGAUUAAUUUUAAUAACAAGAAUCACGUUAUUAUUGAAAAACAAUUAUAUUUAUCUGCCAGGAUAAAAAAAUAACUAAAACAUUGAUAUAGGAAUCACGGUCGGUGAAAUCGGCAGUAAAUUCAGUUUGAACUCUACCAACAAUGGGUACGUGGCAUUUGAUAAUGUCCGAAUACCUCGAAUGCAAAUGUUAAUGAAAAAUUCGAUAGUUCAUAAGGUAAUGAGUUAAUGGUGUCGUGAUGAACGAUGUUUUUUUAAUGCGAUUGCAUGGAUCUAGAAAUAUGUUAAACUAUGAAAGGAGGGGAGAGAGUCGGGGUGAUCAUUUUUUAAUACUUCACUUAAGAUUUCUUAUGACGCCAUUACGUGAUGAUGUUAACUGGUUAAAUUAAUUAAGUAUAUAAAUCACAAUGCGUAAUUAAAAAUUGAAAUUUUGAGUAUAGGAUGGAACUCACGAAGUUGUAACUCGGGAUAUAUUGACAUACAGUACGAUGGUAUUCGUACGGGUAGCAAUUGUCAAAACCGUGAUUAACAACUACUUAAUGCGGUCAGCUGUAAUCGCAAUCAGGUACAGUGCGAUUCGGCGGCAAUCGAAAUUAAAACCUGGGUAAUAUAUUAUAUUUCACAAUAUAUACGGUAUAUUAUGUUACGUUGGUUUAUACUUACUUGCGGUACAGGGAACGCGAGCCACAAAUAUUGGACUACCAAACGCAACAGUACAAACUGUUUCCGACCAUUGCUACGUGUUUAGUGUAUAAAUUUGCUGCAAAAUGGCUAUGCGAUAAAUACUCUACUGUAAAUUCAGACAUAGAACGAGGAGAUUUAAAACAAUUACCAGAGGUUGGUACACUCAAUAAAUUGAGUUUCUUAAUUAUUAAUAUUAUCUGUUAUAAAGUAUAUUGCAGUUAAUGAUUUAAAAACCAUAGUGAAUGCAUACGAAUUUUGACUACGCAUUAUUUAAUACGUUAUACCUUCUUCUACAUUAAUAAUAGGAAGUGUCUGUCUAUCUGGGCACGGCGAACAGCCAAAUAUAUCGCUUAUAAGAAUGCAAUCUUUUUUUUUUUUAAAUAUAUUGGUUACCAAAAUGUUAUUAAUUAUUUAUUAGUGUUAGUAUGAACUAUGAAGAUGGUGGUUUUCUAUCACAUAAUAACAAUUCUUUUUUGUAAUUGGUUAGUAUCUAUGGUAAGCUUUUGGUUUACCAGAGUGUUUAUACGUUUUUACUUCAUGACUAAAUACGUUAAUUGCCUACUUAACGUGUUGUUGAAUCUAGUAAAACAAUUUCAUGUACAUUGUACACGCUCAUAAAUAUUAAUUACAAAAAAUGACUGUUAUUGUUUACUGUAUUAUUAAUAAUGCUAAGAUGAUUUUAUCGUAUUAUUAUAUUUAUACAUAGCAAUUGGUUUAGGAGUUUAUACUGCAUUUGAAAUCAGUAAAUAUACGAGUCGUUGGAAUUGUCUCUUUAGCAAGUAUAAUAAGUGGUGAAAAUUUGGCGAUGCACAAGUCCUUUAAGAAACUCUUGUUAAAUUAUAUUAUUUUACGGUUUUGAUAGUCAAUAGAAUGGGGAAAUCAAAAAAAUAAUUAUAAAAUCAAUCUCUGUAAAAACUAAACAAGAAAAUGGAUAAAAAUUAAUAAUCGCACGGGUUAUUUCGAUUUCUCGGUUUUUUAAGGUACAAUAUUUUAGUCAUAACCCUACCAUACCUAUGUGUCAAUAAAAAUUGACCACCUCUUAAUGAAGUAAACUGAUUUUCCCUCCAGUAACUCGUGUCUCCCUAAAAUACGGGCCUGCUAAUGAGCCACAAAAUAUUAUAAAUUUUCCCUGAUCUAUCUAAAGCCCCAUUCCGCACCUGGUGGUCAAUGUAUAUUGACGUGUAUAUUCACGCAUAAAUCGGUACAAAUGUUUAUAAUCCAAAAUUGAAUUUCGAAUAAAAAUGUUCUUAAAAUAUAAUUUAUAGCUACACGCUAUGGCGUGUUGUUUAAAAGCUGUCUGUACGGCAGAUGCGGCUAUGGGCGUCACGAAUUGUCGUUUAGCAUGCGGCGGUCAUGGUUAUAUGACCAGUAGUAAUCUACCUAACAUUUAUGCGCAAACCACCGCAGCAGAAACUUAUGAAGGAGAAAACACAGUAUUACUUUUGCAGACAGCUAGGUACUUACUACUAGUAGCAUUAAGUUAUUGUAACGAUUUUAACAAAAACAUAAUACUUAUUACCGAUUGUUUAUUACCUAAUUCAAAUUAUUUUUAAACUUUAUAGAUUUUUGAUGAAAUCGUAUCACGAUGUGAAAAUGGAAAAUAUGCCGUUGUCGAACACUAUAUCUUAUCUGAGAGAUUAUACAGAUUUGAACAAAUUCCGAUGGACUACAACAUUAGAAUGUAUGGCAAAUGCAUUUUAUCAAGUCGCCGGAAGGUAUACGAGAUUUAUUUUACAACAAAAUGUUUAACUUGCUAACUUACUAUUAUAUUAAUUUUAAACAUAUUUUAGUAAGAUCGAAGACUGUUAUUCAACCAUAAAACGGAUGGUGAACUCUGGAGUUACUCAGGAGGACGCUUGGAAUCAAACGUCCAUCAAACUAACUCAAGCAUCUGAAGUACAUAAAUACCAUUUUAAUAAUUUAAAUAAGGAAAUUAAAAAACUUCAUCUAACACGGUUUAUACUUUUCGUGUUUUAUAAAGAAAAAUCACUCUCAACACGAAUAUAUUCUCUGUCUAUGGGCGUAAAAAUUAAUAUUUUAAAUCUCUCCUCUCGUUACACGUUACACAUGUCGAUGGUCGUAUCUUUAUUAUCCUUCUCUUAAACAGUAUUUCAGAAGCAUCAGAUUUUCUAUCGAAUAUCUCAUUUAGUGUUCCUAAUAAUCACACCAGACUACCACAGACUAUUCCCUACACUUACACAUUAUUUUCAAAUUUAUUAAGUUAGUAUAUAUGUAUAUAUUUUAUUAAUAUAAGUAAAAGUUAAAUUAUUGUAAUAUUUUACUUGAUUUUUAUAGGCACACUGCAGAGCAUUUGUUAUCAAUGUUUAUCUAAAAACUCUCCAGACGCUUACAUUUUCGACCGAGUUAAUGAAAGUACUCAUCGAUCUGGGUGAACUUAUUUGUGCAUAUUGGAUAAUAAAUCGACUUGGAGAUUUUCUUCAGGUAAAUUAUUUUCUUCAGCUGUUAUAAUAAUUUCAUGUUUUUAUAUGUACGCGAUUUUGUUCACAGUUCUCGAAUCUUAAAAUUAACGACGUGCCUUCGGUACAAUUGUUGUUUGAAGACUGCUUAAAACGUAUCAGACCAAAUGCAGUUGGUCUUGUCGAUAGUUUUGAUAUUCGCGAUGAAGUAUUAGACUCGUCGCUUGGCUGUUAUGACGGGAACGUCUACGAACGGAUUUUCGAAGAAGCUAAAAAAAGCCCUUUGAACAAAGAACCCGUGAAUCGUUCGUUUGAAUUGUACUUGAAACCAUUUAUAAAAUCUAAUAUUUAAAAUUUUGAAUUUAAAUUGAUCAAUGAAAAAUGUAAAUUUUUUGUUUUUCGUAUAAAUUUAAUAUAAAAAAAAAUAUACCUAUAAAUAGAAUAUUAUGUACGAGCAAUUUUAAAUAUUUUUGAACAAUAGAUUAAUUUGUUUUAACAGUUGCACUCAGAUAGAUCAUACCAAAAGUGGUUUAACUGCAUAUGAUAUCCAAGGUGUGGGUGGUUGGUAAUGUUGAUCUAAAUUGUCUUGGUCUUGAUCUUGCGGCAAGAUUAAGACUAAGGUGGCACUAGCACUAGCUAGACCAAAAUAAGUAUUUACAUAUUUAGACCAAGACCAAAACUGCAAGACUUGUAGUCUUGCACAUUUUCAAUUCGGAGCACAACAAGUGAUCUAUUAAUUAGUUUUACUAUGAUGUAUGUUUUUUUUUUGUGUGUCAUACGAGCAACUUUAAUACCAGAAAUCUUGCUCCGACGUAUCAAGUGUAGCGCAUUUUCUGAAAGGAAAUUUUAUUUAGUUGGCAGGUUAAGUAAUUUUUUGAUUUUCCAAGUAGUUUCCAUAAUAAUUGGAAAAACUGGAAAAAGAUGAAAAACGGAAACUGAUAUAGACUGUCUCGGUCUUAGUCUUGGUCUUGGUUUACUUAUGAUUAAUGACUGGUAUCUUGAGCCUGUUUAAAAAUUCUUAAAAAUAAAAUAAAAGUCGAUGGAGUCGAUACUUAUGUUAACUGCACGUAUUCUCUAAAUUUUUUUGUGCGCCACUAAUUCGUUAUAAUAUUUUGUACUUACGUAUUAUUAAUAUUAACUGGUUCAGGGCGAUAGUCGUUUGUACGAAAAUAAUAGUUAAUAAAAUUGUAACAAAAUAUUAUUAUAGUUCAUCUAUGUGUUAUAAAUACAAUCGCAUAUAUGUAGUUACAUCUGUGUACAGACUACGAAUAUGUAAACUCGGCUGU